rnacentral:misc_RNA from 1 species
AAGUCGUAACAAGGUUUCCGUAGGUGAACCUGCGGAAGGAUCAUUAACACGUAUCCAACGUUAAACAACCCUGUGAACUUUCAGCGCUCUUGUAACCAGGCGGAACAGCAAUCCCGGUAAAUCAAUUGGCGGAAAAGUUUUGAUUCGGGACCUCUGUCCAAAAGGUUACAAUCGAGUUGAGCAGUGGCAUGGUUUCCCUAAGCAGUGCAGAAGGAUCCACUGAGUAAGGAUAACGCAUCAACGGUUGCUAGAGGGCUAUACGCCCCUUCAUUCACCCCUUGCCCUCUCCUGCCCGCCGGAAACGCCGGGCACAAAAACUGAACAACUGUUAACAAUGGAUAUCUUGGUUCUC